AUGUGCAGUCUGAAGACGCUGCUGUCCAUCACUAGAGGAGGACAGAGGACAGUGGACACACAGUUAACCACGAGGGACUUUAGGACAGGACUGCUGCUUUUAACUGUCUUCUGCGCAGGUGUUGAUGGUCAGACUCUGACACAAUCUGAAGCAGUGAUUAAAAGGCCUGAAGAAUCUCACAGGUUGACUUGUACAACAUCUGGAUUCACAUUCAGCAGCUACUGGAUGAACUGGAUCAGACAGGCUCCUGGAAAAGGACUGGAGUGGAUCGCUUUCAUCAGCACAUCUAGUUCUUCUAUCUAUUACUCCCCAUCAGUCAAGGGUAGAUUCACCAUCUCCAGAGAUGACUCCAGCAGUAAACUCUAUCUACAGAUGAACAGUCUGAAGACUGAGGACACGGCUGUGUAUUACUGUGCUAGAGACCCACAGUAACACAAACCAUCAGUACAGCUGAACAAAAACCUCUCAGUGCCUGAACACUUGUAACACAAAGCCACCAGAGGAGGAGUCCUCAGACCACCAAUGAUUUCACCACCAGCUCACUGUGACAUCAGUUUAAAUACCUACACGUUACAAUUACUAAUAUGCUAUU